UGGCACCAAUCAGAAACUGACUUCAUUCUCUCUAUUUUCCUCUUCAUUCCUUCUGAAAACCUCUCUAUUUUCUCUGCACAAGCAGAGAGGCCGAAAGGCCAUGCACUAACCCCAGUCACGACCACUCGACUUCUUCGACGAGUUAGGUAAUCAGACCACCAUUGUGCUUUAUCCCAUCCUAUCUCUAUAAGCUCAGGUCGUGAACUUCAAACCCAAGCGUGGAGCUUGCACUGCAUAGUGGUCACUGCAACUGUUCAUCAUUUUCUCCGAAGAGUUCUUAUCGAGUUCAACUAAGUGGAAGGUCAACAUUGAAAUGACUCGGAGGAAGAGAUCCCGAAAUUUUUCCAACAAGGAUCCGUGGCCAUUUGGCCACUUUUAGACUAGAUUUCCGGCCAACCUCGACCUCGACUGGAUUUCUAAUAGAAGUGUUUUUGGAUGAGAAUCUAGCUCGUUAGGGGCUCAGGAAGUUGGCCCAAAAUCCAUAAAAAUUGCAGAAAAUCGUGGAGAAGGCGAGUACAUGCAUACUCGCAAGCAUGUGAACGCACGUGACCACCUACAUGCCAUUGGCACAUGCAGCGUGUGGCAGGUUGUGCAGCCUCUUGUGGCGGCGCGUGACGGCACGUCCGGCCUCCGGCUGACGUGUGGUGGACAAGUGUGUGUCCGUGACGUCGAGUAGAUCGAUUUCAUGUAUUCAAACCCUAUGUUUGAGCAAUCUACGGAGGUUUUAUUUAAGUUUCCGUGUAUGUGUUAUUAAACUAGGUUAAUAAGUUAUUUCACAUAUAGGGGAAACGUAUCCCCGAGGACGUACGAGGUCAAGCAAGGCUAGGAGGCUUCGUUUCGACUGCGUAUCUGUGAGUGGGCAGUUUAUUUUAUGCUUAUACAUAUUGAUAGUUUCCCUAAAUGCGUAGUUACUUCACUUUUACGCUUAUAUUGCCAAGUAUUUGUUAUGGUGACAUUAAAUGUGAUAAAUGCUGCUAUAUGGUUGGGAUAUUA